AGCAGCCGCGGUAAUUCCAGCUCCAAUAGCGUAUAUUAAAGUUGUUGCAGUUAAAAAGCUCGUAGUUGAAUUUCGGGAUUGGCGCAUCGGUCGUGCCUCACGGGGUAUGAACUGGUGCAGUCAAUUUCUCACCUUCUGGAGAACCGCGAUGUCCUUAAUUGGAUGCCGCGGGGAACCAGGACCUUUACUUUGAAAAAAUUAGAGUGUUUAAAGCAGGCAUUUUUGCUUGAAUACAUUAGCAUGGAAUAAUAAAAUAGGACGGCAUGGUUCUAUUUUGUUGGUUUCUAGGACCACCGUAAUGAUUAAUAGGGAUAGUUGGGGGCAUUAGUAUUCAAUUGUCAGAGGUGAAAUUCUUGGAUUUAUUGAAGACUAACUACUGCGAAAGCAUUUGCCAAGGAUGUUUUCAUUAAUCAAGAACGAAAGUUAGGGGAUCGAAGACGAUCAGAUACCGUCGUAGUCUUAACCAUAAACUAUGCCGACUAGGAAUCAGACGAUGUUAAUUUUUUAAUGACUCG
rnacentral:misc_RNA from 1 species